rnacentral:rRNA from 1 species
AUUAAACGCUGGCGGCAUGCCUUACACAUGCAAGUCGAACGGCAGCACGGGGGCAACCCUGGUGGCGAGUGGCGGACGGGUGAGUAAAGCAUCGGAACGUAUCCUGGAGUGGGGGAUAACGUAGCGAAAGUUACGCUAAUACCGCAUAUUCUGUGAGCAGGAAAGCAGGGGAUCGCAAGACCUUGCGCUCUGGGAGCGGCCGAUGUCGGAUUAGCUAGUUGGUGGGGUAAAGGCCUACCAAGGCGACGAUCCGUAGCGGGUCUGAGAGGAUGAUCCGCCACACUGGGACUGAGACACGGCCCAGACUCCUACGGGAGGCAGCAGUGGGGAAUUUUGGACAAUGGGCGGAAGCCUGAUCCAGCCAUGCCGCGUGAGUGAAGAAGGCCUU